rnacentral:rRNA from 1 species
AGUGGCGGACGGGUGAGUAACGCGUGGGUAACCUGCCUCAUACAGGGGGAUAACAGUUAGAAAUGACUGCUAAUACCGCAUAAGACCACGGUACCGCAUGGUACAGUGGUAAAAACUCCGGUGGUAUGAGAUGGACCCGCGUCUGAUUAGGUAGUUGGUGGGGUAACGGCCUACCAAGCCGACGAUCAGUAGCCGACCUGAGAGGGUGAUCGGCCACAUUGGGACUGAGACACGGCCCAG